UGAAAUUUGGAGACCAUGUAUUUAAAUGGCUACCCUCAUACACUGUCCAUAAAAGAUGGAUAGAAACAUUCUCUAAACAGAAGUUGGUAAUAACCUCAGGUCUUUAUUUCAAAUCCACUGUGCUUGUGUACAGAGCAAAAACAAUAAAAUAUGUGUUGGCCCCAAUACUUACAGAGCGCACUGUAGAUGUGUUAACUGGUUCCCGGAUUUGAAUUUCUGUGUCACGUCACUCUAGCAAAAGGAAAAGCUUUGUUUCCCCUUGUUUUUGUUUUGUAAGACUGUUAUUCAGUCUCAAUAAAGUGCCUAAUCUGUUUUGUAAUUUCAUAUCCUCAAACGAUAAUUGUUUUUUUAUUACAGGUAUGGUCAGAAAUUGACCAUGCAUCUCCUUCAACCAGCGAAUGUGUAACACCACUGGAAAGAACAGAGAGUGUAUUUGUUGCCUUCCAAAACCACAUGGACACAGAUUCCAGCUCUGCAGAAGAUGGGAAUGUGCCCCACUCCAAUCCCAAGUUUAAAAAACAAAUGCUUGGAUAUGAUUCUGAAGACUCACUAAGCAGCAUGGAAAUAACAGAGGAUGAAUAUGUGCCAGGGUCAGAUUGUGAAAGUGAGACCAGCUCAGAGGGAGGCAGUAUAUUAAAGAAAAAUGUUGCCACCAUGGCCAGUCCUGCUGUUAAAGAUGGAACAAGAAAAACAUACAAGGGACCUAGAAACCGGAACUCUGAAUCUGACACAUCUGGGGAAAGCUCCAUAACUUCACUUACAGUCAUGCACAGUCAAAAGACUGACGAUGGAUCUAGAAGAUACACCAAAAAACAUUACUGUCUCUUUUGUGAGAAACCACAAUCCAAAAUCGCCAGGCAUCUGGAACUUGUUCAUAAAGAUCAAUCUGAAGUCGCUAAGGCCAUUUCAUCUCCAAAGAACUCCAAGGAAAGAAAGCUCCAACUGACUAUACUAAGGAAACAGGGGGACAGAGCACACAAUGUAGAUGUCAUUAGACAGGGUAAAGGUGUCAUUGUUCCAUGUAAACAAGCGAGUUCUCCAAAUGUCAAUCCAAAUAAAUUCUUACAUUGUGCAAAUUGCCAAGGACUUUUCAAAAAAAGAUUUCUUUGGAAACAUAUGAAAAGGUGCCCACUUCGAGGUGUUCUUCCAAAACCUGGUAGAACUCGAGCCCAAUCGAUUUGCGCCUUUGCGCAACCUGUGCAGGAAGGAGUUAGCAAGGGACUGUGGAAACUUCUCAGUGAUAUGAAACAAGGUGAAGUGGUAGAUGUCAUAAAGAGUGACUAUUGUAUUCUCAAGUAUGGAGAGCAGAAAUACAACAUGAUGGGACACCGGCGUUCUGAUCAUGAACUGAUCCGUCAGAAAAUGCGUGAGUUAGGGAGACUGGUUUUGAAAGGAAGGCAGGUGUCCCCUCUCAAAUCACUUGAGGAAUACAUUGAUCCAGCCAACUUCCAACACACAGUUAAUGCAGUUAAAGCUGUUACAGGCUUUCAGUGUGAGACAAAUAAGAUAGUGGUGCCAACGCUAGCCAAGAAACUUGGUCAGAGCCUCAUGAAGGUUGCCGACAUUGUAAGUUGUGAUGCAAGGAUCUGCGGUGACACAACAAAAGUUCAAAAAGCAGAGGACUUCAAACACAUCUAUCAGACACGCUGGAGGGAGAUGAUCUCAUGUCAUGCUCACAGUACCCUGGAAGAAAAAAGGUACAACGCUCCACUGAUCUUGCCAUUUGCAGAUGAUGUCAAGAAACUCCAUAUAUAUUUAAAGGAGAAACAGCAAGAAUACUACAGCACACUUUUUAAUGCACCAAACACCAAGACCUGGGCAAAACUGGCUAAAGUCACUCUUGCACAAAUGAUCAUCUUCAACAGAAAAAGGCAAGGGGAAGCCUGUCUGAUGCCAGUACAAUCAUUUGAGUCUCGAGACAACUCUACUUUAAAUAUUGAUAUUGCUGACUCUCUCUCAGAAGUUGAACAAGCACUAUGCAAGUACUUUAGUCGUGUAGAAAUCCGUGGAAAGCGCGGAAGGAAAAUUGCAGUACUUUUGGCACCAGAAAUGAUCAAAUCCAUGGAGUUGCUGGUUAAAAUGUGUGAAGUUUGCGGUGUUCCGAAGGAGAACAUCUACAUGUUUGCAAUCCCAGGCUGCGAGACAUCAUUUCGUGGAUCAGACUGCCUGCGCUGCUUUGCCAUGGAGUGUGGUGCUAAAUGUCCAAAAGCACUAUCGUCCACCAAGUUGCGCAAACACAUCUCUACAAUGUCCAGAGUUCUUAACCUGAACGACACCGAAAUGGACCAACUUGCUGAUUUCCUGGGACAUGAUAUUCGUAUCCACAGGAAAUAUUACAGAUUACCAGAGGGAACACUCCAGCUGGCAAAAAUCACCAAAGUCUUGAUGGCAAUGGAGCAGGGAAGGCUUAACGAAUUCAGAGGGAAAGGUCUUGACCAGAUCAACAUCAAUCCAACAGGUAUGUAACCUGUUAAUCGAGUUUAAACUACCUGUCAAGCGUGUCCUAGUGACUUUGGAAGAAUCUGUGCAUAUCUCUGAAUACUAGGACUAUAUUUCAGAGUGCGCUGAGCCUGAUGCUGGGAUGGAGAGUGAAACAGAACGGUCAGAUCAUUCUCAUGAUGUGACAUCAAGUGAGCCAGGCACUUCAGGAGUGAACAGCAGCAGGCCAGUAAACACGAAUGAAGGAUCUCCAGAGAGGACACGGGAGGUCAUGAAAGUAACAUCAGUUCCUAGGAAGAGAAAGUGGAGUGAGGUGGAGAUUGCGGCUGUAGAAGACAAAAUGAUGAAAUUUAUUCACUCGGGAGUUACUCCUGGAAAAGUCGACUGCAUUGCAUGCAUUACAGCAGCCCCCAAAGCCCUCAGUGAACGAGACUGGCAGUCGGUAAAGUAUUAUGUAAAAAACAGAAUCACAGCAUAUGAGAGAAAGACCACUAAAAAGUAAGGUUGAUUUUGGUUGUUUCUGUUUUUGCAUUUUAGUUGAAUUAUAUUAUCUGUUUUUUUUUUGUCUCAAUACCAUGGUUGGAAACAUUAUAAUUUAAUUUAAGUUUUGAAAGAGUUAAAACGGCUCGAUGUUGGUUGUAAAUUUGGUGCUUGGACUUCCUUGUUUUUAAGUCUGCAGGCAAAAUGCUGUGUCAGGUGAUAAGGAGUUGGUGUAAAUGUUUUUUCUAAUUGCGUAGAUUAGUUUUACUGUACAGUAGCCAUACGACAGAGUGCCUAUAGUUUUCAAUGCCUUUAUUCAGGCCCCUUUACGUUUCACAUUUUUGAUUGUGUUGUGGAUUUAAUUUUAAAUUGAUUAAUUUAUUUUCUGAUGGCACAUUAGACGAAACACAUCAUAAAAAAAAUAUGUUGUAAUAUCUGGUGGCAAGCACGGAACCCAUACUGUACUGAUUAAAUUUGGCUGUAGAUUCAA